rnacentral:rRNA from 1 species
UACGAGGGAUGCAAGCGUUAUCCGGAAUUAUUGGGCGUAAAGCGCACGUAGGCGGCCGAAUAAGUCGGGUGUGAAAGCCCUGGGCUCAACCCAGGAAGUGCACUCGAAACUGCUCGGCUUGAGUAUGGAAGAGGGUUGCGGAAUUCCCGGUGUAGAGGUGAAAUUCGUAGAUAUCGGGAGGAACACCAGUGGCGAAGGCGGCAACCUGGGCCAAUACUGACGCUGAGGUGCGAAAGCGUGGGGAGCAAACAGG